UGUGUUCUAUUGUGUUCAUUUUGUGCUUA
rnacentral:piRNA from 1 species